UUCCUGGAAGGCAUGUGUUUUACCUCCAUUAGAGGUUAAGACAGCCAUUUUAAAAAUAUUGUAAUAACAGCCUUUUGGGAACAAACAUACUAUUAGAUUGCAAUAAUAUAUAACAAACUGCUUUUGUUGCCAAAAACUUGCCCACAGUAUAUGUGAUGCCACAUGUACAAGAGGUGGUUCCAGUAGCUGAUGGAUUCUUCCAGGCUCAUCGCAGCUAGGAGUGCAUGUUUUGUAUCUGCAGCCAGAGCUGCAUGAUGAGAUGAUGGGAUAUGGCCAGCGGGGAAGGAAGGAAUGUUCCUGACAAUUUAAAAACCAUACCCUAUAAUUAUUUUAAUGGAAAAGAAGGUUCCUACGCUAGUUCAGCUAUGUAGCCACCCAGCCUAAAGACCAGCUGUUUUUGAUGCUGCAUCCUGGCUGUUGGGUGCCCAGUCCUUUCUCUGGUGUAUGCCACCUCCGCCUGUGAUGUGUAAUCAGUGCCCCUUUAUGCACCCAAAAGAGAUGGUGGUUCCAAUCUGUGACCUUUCUAACACAGUGUAUACAAAAGCAAACUAAUUGACAACUUUAACUGCUAGAAGAGUUAUCCGGCAGGAGUAAAAAGCCACCAUCGCAUGUCAGAGCUUCUAAGGGAAGAGUCUUCUGCAACAAAGCAUAAUGUCAGACUCUUUAACAGCUAAGUUUCCAGAACAACCCUGGGGCUCUGGAACAUUUCCACAUGAAGCUUUUCUGAGCCCAGAGGAACCUCUAUAUUGCUGGCUUCUCGUUAUUGGCGGCCUUGAGUUUGAUCUACUUGCUAAGUCCAACUAAAGUACACUCAGUGACAUGUCAACACUUAAAUAACUCCCCUUGAUUCAAUGGAUUUCCUCUGGGAAAGAUAACAAUUGGAUUCGACCCAAGGACAAUUUGAGAACAGCUGAAGAGAUGUCCUCAUGGAUUAUGCACAGGAAACACAAGAAGGUUUCUAGUAUAACAUGGACUGAUGUCUCAAGAGAACAUAGCUCUUAUGUUAUCUUGCUUUAGUUGGUCUGCAUCGUUUACAAUAAACUUAGAAAAUAAUUGCUUAACUUUGAACUGUCUUGUUCUGACUAUGGAGUAAUGUAGGAAAAGGACGACACAGUCAAGAAACAAUUUUUCUUCUUUAUCAAUAUAUGUAAACUGUUUAGAAAAUAAGCUUUUAAAGGUGUGCACCGCAAUAAUGAAACAGCCUAUUCAUACAGUACACAAAAUGGCAAUAAAAUAUUCACA